UUCCUCUUGGAGCAUCGGUGUUCUCAUAGGUAAAGGGAGGAUAAAAGUAGUUCCCAACCAGUAGGCUUGCCAUGAAGAUUAAAUGAGAUGACAAGGUGAAGCACUUAGCAGGAUGCUUGCUUCACUUUGUUUCCAUUCUCCGUGCUCAAAAUGACAAGGACUCUCGACUCAAGAUAGUGGAUAAAAAACGAGUUUCUUCUGUAUAGCCUGGGGAACU